ACUACGGGUGGCAGCAGUGGGGAAUUUUGGACAAUGGGCGCAAGCCUGAUCCAGCUAUUCCGCGUGUGGGAUGAAGGCCCUCGGGUUGUAAACCACUUUUGUAGAGAACGAAAAGACACCUUCGAAUAAAGGGUGUUGCUGACGGUACUCUAAGAAUAAGCACCGGCUAACUACGUGCCAGCAGCCGCGGUAAAACGGAGGGUGCGAGCGUUAAUCGGAAUUAAUGGGCGUAAAGGGUGCGCAGGCGGGUGGGUAAGACCGAUGUGAAAUCCCCGAGCUUAAUUCGGGAAUGGCAUAUGUGACUGCUCGAGUAGAGUGUGUCAGAGGGAGGUGGAAUUCCACGUGUAGCAGUGAAAUGCGUAGAUAUGUGGAAGAACACCGAUGGCGAAGGCAGCCUCCUGGGACAUAACUGACGCUCAUGCACGAAAGUGUGGGUAUCGAACAGGAUUAGAUACCCUUGUAGUC
rnacentral:rRNA from 1 species